AAAUUUGUGUAUCCGCCAUUUAUAUAUUACAAUUGGAGUGAUACAAAGAUUAUUAACGUAGCCCGUGCAUGAGGUUAACACACAAAUUCAAGAAGCGUUGCAUAUUUAC